GUGGGGAAUCUUAGACAAUGGGCGCAAGCCUGAUCUAGCCAUGCCGCGUGAGCGAUGAAGGCCUUAGGGUUGUAAAGCUCUUUCGUGGGGGAAGAUAAUGACUGUACCCCAAGAAGAAGCCCCGGCUAACUCCGUGCCAGCAGCCGCGGUAAUACGGAGGGGGCUAGCGUUGUUCGGAAUUACUGGGCGUAAAGCGCACGUAGGCGGACCAGAAAGUCAGAGGUGAAAGCCCGGGGCUCAACCCCGGAACUGCCUUUGAAACUCCUGGUCUUGAGGUCGAGAGAGGUGGGUGGAAUUCCGAGUGUAGAGGUGAAAUUCGUAGAUAUUCGGAGGAACACCAGUGGCGAAGGCGGCCCACUGGCUCGAUACUGACGCUGAGGUGCGAAAGCGUGGGGAGCAAACAGGAUUAGAUACCCGAGUAGUCC
rnacentral:rRNA from 1 species